AUAUCUUCGGCAUCAAGAACCAUUAUGCAGUCUUCAAUUUUCAUUUUUGUUUUCAAGCCUAAGAUAAGAGCUCUCGGAAAUGAAGAGAAGAGGAAAAACAAAGGGAAAAUCUGGGUAAUUUUUAUAUUGAUUAUUAUUUCAUCUUUUACGGAUAAUUUUUUCAUAUAAUUAAGAAAAAAACAUUUGUUGAGUGUAGAUUGAGGACUUUGAUAUUAUAGCUAUGCUUUGGGUGGAAAGUUAAACCAGAAGUUAUUAGAUAAUCUCGAAUUAUUAUGUGCGAUGAUCUCAUUCAAUUUUUAUUGUUACGUAUAUUUAAGUUUUUUAAUUUAUUGAAAAUAAUUAAUAAUACCUGAUUAAUUAUAUAUUAUGUAAAAAUUAAUUAAAAUCGUAAUAGUACUUGGAUCAUCUAAUAGUUAUUUCAAAGUAAAUGUUGUACACAACAUGUCGAAUUUGUGAGAGAAAAAAAAUUUGAAUUCGAUUCUCACAAUAUAUUUUUGAGAGAAAUGAAAAAUUUUAAGUGUGAUAAGUCUGAAAUCAAAUUAUAAUAUUAUUUUUAAUAAAAAAGUAAACAUUGUACCCUCAAAAGUGGUUGGAACUUUAUCAUAGGUUUGUAAUGAAUUCCAUAACCUCUAUGUCUCAAUUUUUUAUAAGUAAUUAAAAUUAAGUAGACACUUGUUUUUUCAAAUAUAAUGAAUGCUCUUAGAUUAUACUAAUAGAAUCUCCCAAUUAAGUGACCGGUAGAUAAGUAAUAAGUAACACAAAAAAGUCAUAGCGACAGAGAACAUAUUGUCAUGUAAGCAGUAUGUGUUUGUAUUAAUUUUCAUUAUCAUUUUUGUUGAACACCAAUUUUCUUCAGUUACGUUAGAAUGAAUUGAACAGAGAAAGAUCAUAUUGUAAUAUCAGGUAGUGUGUGCUUGUAUUUUCGCUACCAACCCUGUUAAACUUUAAUCCACCAAUUUUCCUCGAUUACAUUAGAAUCGAUCUAUUGAACUGUGUCUGAAGGGGCAAUGCAAAUGCAAACACAUCCUUAAUUGUUCAAUUGUCACAAGCCCUAGUCUUUUAUGUGUGAUGUUAGUACCUUCAAUUGACGAAAUUCAGCUGAACUUUACUUUAUUGCUUUUCUUUAUUCCAAGUACAUAUUAUGAGAUCCAUAGACACACACUACCUGGAGAGAAAGGAAAACACAUAACAUACUAUAUAUAGCUUCUAGAUGCCCAUUUUCUUAGACCACUUUAUAAAACUAACAGAUACAAACAGCAUAUCAUUAAUAACUUAUAAACCAUACCCUUAAACCCUCUAAAUCUAGAGUUUCUUCAUCUUCAAAGUGUCAAGAAACCUACCCUUUGUGAUAUCAUUGCCGGAUAUGAAGUCCAGAAAUUCCCUAAAGCAGAAUUCUUUGUAGGAUUUGGGGUGCUGGUCAUUAACAAGUUCAAGUGCUGGACCCAUCUUUCUGUCCAUUGCAAAACUGUGAAGGCUCACAAUGGAAAACCUCUUGUCAUCCCCGUUAACCGUUGCGCGGUGAAUGACACUCUUGUACUGUCCAUUGCUCAUAACUUCCAUUUGGUCACCCAACUGCACCACAAGUGCACCUUCAACAAAGGGCACAGGUACCCAGUUGUUGUUUUUGUCCUUGAUUUCUAGGCCGGAACGGGUUUGGAGCAGCACCGUUAUGGACCCGUAAUCGGAGUGAGGGUGGAUACCUAAGGUGAGUCCAGGUUGUGGACAUGCAGGGUAGCAGUUCACGGCGAGUGUCUGUGAGCCUCCAUUGAUUUCUUCAUGUAGGUAACUACGGUUUAACCCUAGGCUUUCAAAAAUGAUUUCCAAUAGUUGAUUUUGUAGAACUUGCACUGCUUUUACGUACUUUCCCAUCUUCUCCCUGUUAGCAUGUCAUUGUUGUGCAUAUUUUUAAUUAGGACUAGGGCAAUGAUAUGGACAUGAAUUUGAAAAGCUUUCAUCAUGGAAGCGGCAAAAUGGUUUCAAUUAUGAUAAGUCUAUUUGUGGUAUAAUGGUUUCAUAUUGUUGCUGGAUAAAAUUUUGGCAUUUGAAAAGGUCUAUAUAUAUGAAAGCAAUUUUUUUUCCUACAUAGUUUUUUUUCCACACCAUUUAACUUUUACAUCAUAUAUCUAUACACUCAUUCUUUUAUUGUAGAAAAGGAGGAGAGGUAAUUAAGCUCUGUAAAAUUUAUCUUCCCUCAGUUGGAUGGGUGUAAAGAUUACUGAUGUAAAAAUUGAGGUGUGUAAAAGAAUCAAAGACACAGUUUUAAGAAUAAUUAAUUAGGAUCAUAUAUAUUUUCAUACCUCCCUUUUCUUGUUGUACUCUAUCCCACACUUAGCUUUUAAUGAUAUAAAAAAAAUCAUUUUGCCUUAAAAUAUAUUUUCUUGGGUUUCUCAUAUUUUUAUAUAUUUUACCUUUAGUGCAAAUAGCAAGUAGGGGUGGGGUAGUGUGAGAAAAGGGAUCGUGGGAGAAAUAUUUUUCAAAGGUUUGUAACGAACUAACGAUACCUGUAAUUCGAUGGAUUUGAAGGCCACAUGUGAAUCCAAUCCGAUAUUGGAUAAGAGUAGUGUUUGAUGAAAUCUCUCCAGCAGUAAACUUCAUCCCUAGCUUGGUUAAGACUUGUUCCAUACCUUACAGGUUUGUGAACAUCUUGAGAAAAUAAACGCAUCUUUUCAUCAUUAGGGAGGUUGAAGAACUCUGUUGCGACUUCUAGGGCUUCAUCCAUUACUGAUUGAUCAAUUUCAUGGUUAAUAACCUACAAAAAUACAUAAGUCGUUUGUAAAUGUAAUAUUACAGUAUAAAAGUCACCAUAGAAAUAAAAUAAGUCUAAUUGUCUCCUCUAAAUUUAGCUCACUUUGAAGCAAGGGGUGUCGUCUUCGCUUUUAAAAAAACUACAUACUUAUCCACACACUCAGCCAACUCCUAUAUAUACACAAAUAUAUAUGCAAAUAUGCACGUUCAUGUGUAUGCUUGGUGUUCACUAGCAAAUUUGUAUGAUUUGUAAUUGGUCAUGUGUUACCAGAAAUUGGGACUUAUAUAGGAAAAAAAAAGGAAAUCAGAAUUGUAAUUAUGAUUGGUGGAAUCAGACAUAUUGAAUAAAAUAAUUGUUUUUAGAUAAGCAUAUUGAAUAAAAUAAUUGUUUAUAUAAAAUGUUUUUGCUUUUACUUUUCUAAACUACUUUAUAUAUAUAUAUAUAUAUAUAUAUAUAUAUAUAUGAUCCUUUUACAUGAGACAAGAGGAAGAUGAAAUAAUUUUUUUAUAAAGUGAUUAUAUGAUUUUUAAUUUUGGUUAUAUAUUUAUUUACGGUUCCUAUAUAUUUAUAUUUUUUUAACUUAAAAAAAAUAGUUUCUUACUAAAUUCAUUAUAUGUUAGCUCUUAUAAUUUAUAAAUAAAUAUGUACAAAUGUAUAUAUCUGCAUGCAUAUGCACGUGUAUUUUUGGUUGUAUUAGAAAAGUUGCAUGCAUGAUAUAUUAGAAAAGUUGCAUGCAUGAUAUACAAAAUGAGCGUGUGCUAUACCUGAAAGCAACCAAUCUCCUUGCAGGCAAUUCCAAUUUCAUCGAUCGUUCUAGAUAUAACAGAUUGAUCCCACAAAGUAGACAAAUCUAUAAUGGGAAGAGUGGUGGAGAUCAUGGGAACAUGAGGGCUAGGACGUUGUGAUGGUGGAAGAACAUAACGUUGAGGUAUAGAAGACACUCCAAGCUUGUCAAGACUCACAGCACUAGUAAAAGAUGAAGCACUAUGAUCUCCCUCCAUUGUCUCUCUUCCCAAAUCUUAUAUUUUCAAAUGGUAUUGAAUUGAGAUACCGAGCUAAUCAUCAAGAUCUAUUUAUAAGCCUCCAAGUGGAUAUGUUACGUUGAUCACGAUAGUCCUCUAUCCACAUUUCUUUAAGUUGUUCAAUUCACUUAAAUUGUGCAUGCAAGAAAGUACAAAAAAAAGAUUUUCGUUCAGAACACGAGUGUGGAUUAAAUGAUCAUAGUUGCCCCAGAUCUGAGAGUGAUGGGAAUUGAAGUCAAAACGGGAUAAAAGAAGAGCAGAUAGUGAUGAAAGAAUUUUGAUAAAUAUAUUGGUCCAAUAUUCUUACGGCGCUAGUGCUAGUGGGGUUUGCUUGUUUGCGAUUUUUUUAUUGGAGAAAUGUUAGGGCUUUGUACGAGUCCAUGCUGUGGCACUAAGGAUCGUUGGCUUGUUUUGACUUUGUAUGCAAAUCAGCAGUUUAGAACGUGCCUCGCGGAGUAUCUUUGCGGUUUGUGUUUAAUCAGAGAGAUACCUAAGACGAGUCAAUUAAAAAAUAGAGUUUAUAUUAUUUGGGGAUGAAUGUGUACAUUAUAUUUGUCCUCGAAAUUAUCCAAGAACUGAUCCUCGUUCACGGUACAUUAUCUUGGGUUUCUCAUAUCCUCGUUCAACGUAUCUACAGAUAGACCUCUGUUGGACUAAAAUCAUAAUAGAGCUAAAUGGUUGUUGCGGCUGUUUUGAAUAUUGUUUUCCUUUUUUUUUUUUCUGGUACAUGAACAUGUGGCUUUGGA
rnacentral:lncRNA from 1 species